ACGUAGGUGGCAAGCGUUGUCCGGAUUUAUUGGGCGUAAAGCGAGCGCAGGCGGUUUCUUAAGUCUGAUGUGAAAUCCCACGGCUCAACCGUAGAAGUGCUUUGGAAACUGGGGAACUUGAGUGCAGAAGAGGAGAGUGGAAUUUCAGGUGUAGCGGUGAAAUGCGUAGAUAUAAGGAGGAACACCAGUGGCGAAGGCGACUCUCUGGAAUGUAACUGACGCUGAGGCGCGAAAGCGUGGGGAGCAAACAG
rnacentral:rRNA from 1 species